rnacentral:lncRNA from 1 species
CAGAUUUAUGCCUUAGCUGUGUUUCCCAGAUUUCCCUUUGCCGAUUCUCCUGUUGUGGAUUUGGUUGUGGAUGAUUUAAUUCCCCUUAAUUCCCCUUAGGAGUUUGUAGGCCUAGGGGAAGAAAGGACACACAUUUAUCCAGUGUCAGCAUCCGGUUUGGCACAAAGAUUUCUGAGGCACCCAGUUUACUUAGAGCCAGAUUUUCUACCCUUUCAAGAGUGUCUGCGUCAGGGAUAUGACUGGUGAGAACAGUGAGGGGCUCAGGAGGCAGCUGUCCCCACAGCCCCUCACCCCAUGCACAAUGGCCACAAAGCAGACACAGUCAUGUUCAAAUAUUGGUCACAUUUGUGAAGACUCGUGCAAUUUUUUCUGUGCUACACUACAUACAGAUCACACGUGAUGGACUAGCCCUUUGCGGUCCUUGGUGUCACAGGGCUCUCGGGGGCUUGCUUUCUCUGCUUUGAGGCAGGAGGGCAGGAGUGAGCGCCAUCCCGCUCUGCAUUUGUAUUUUGGUCCCAAAAUGUAAAUACGAUUUUCUAUGUUACUUUUUUGUGGUAACUACAAGAUGAAUAUUUUAAUUAGAUAAGUUAUACAAAAAGGAAAAUCCCAUGUCUAAAUAAAAAGCAAAAAACUUCUA